rnacentral:rRNA from 1 species
UACGUAGGGUGCAAGCGUUGUCCGGAAUUAUUGGGCGUAAAGAGCUCGUAGGCGGUUUGUCGCGUCUGCUGUGAAAACGCGAGGCUCAACCUCGCGCCUGCAGUGGGUACGGGCAGACUAGAGUGCGGUAGGGGAGAUUGGAAUUCCUGGUGUAGCGGUGGAAUGCGCAGAUAUCAGGGGGAACACCGAUGGCGAAGGCAGGUCUCUGGGCCGUAACUGACGCUGAGGAGCGAAAGCGUGGGGAGCGAACAGG